rnacentral:lncRNA from 1 species
GAAGUCAUCAGCUCCUUGCCCAGCAUCGUUAAUGACAAAUAUGGAAGGAAAGUGCUGCUGUACCUGCUGAGCCCCCGAGCCCCCGCCCACUUGGUGCCAGAGAUCAUCCAGCUGCUGCAGAAGGGCGACGGCAAUGCACACAGUAAGAAGGACACUGCAAUCCGCCGGCGUGAGCUCUUGGAGUCCAUCUCUCCAGCUUUGCUGAGCUACCUGCAAGGACACACUCGGGAGGUGGUGCUGGACAAGUCCGUGUGUGUGCUGGUGUCUGACAUCCUGGGAUCUGCUACUGGGGACGCUCAGCCUGCUAUGGAUGCCAUCGCCGGUUUGGCAGCAGAGGAACUGUAUCCUGGGGGCAAGGACGGAGAGCUCCACAUUGCUGAGCAUCCUGCAGGACAUCUGGUCCUCAAAUGGUUAAUAGAGCAAGAUAAAAAGAUAAAAGAAAAUGGAAAAGAAGGUAA